UACAUAGGGGGCAAGCGUUAUCCGGGAUUAUUGGGUGUAAAGGAUGCGUAGACGGGAAAUUAAGUUAGAAGUGAGAUCCCCAGGCUUAACUUGGGAAUUGCUACUAAGACUGGUUUUCUUGAGUACUGGAGAGGAAAGUGGAAUUCCUAGUGUAGCGGUGAAAUGCGUAGAUAUUAGGAGGAACACCAGUGGCGAAGGCGACUUUCUGGACAGAAACUGACGUUGAGGCACGAAAGUGCGGGGAGCAAAC
rnacentral:rRNA from 1 species